CUUCAAGACAGCUGAAACAUGCAACUUGAUGCCAAUUUUUAGAUACAUUGUGUAGCGAAUUUGAACUUAUUAUCAACAGAUAAAUUAUUACCACUUGAGUUAUCUUUCCAUUGGUUCAAAUAUCAGGUUCAUUGGAUCUAUAUAACUCCAGAUAUGACAAAAACAAUAAGUGCUGCUUCACAGGUAAAGCUGUAUCCGGCAGGUAACAAGCUAGAAUUUUCACGGUAAUUUUGGCUGCCUUAUGAUACGAAUUCGACUUCUUGCAAAACAUGAAAGUUGUAGAAACAUGCCUUAUAUUUCCAACCCAACUUGAAUCACCUCAAUCCAAUGUCUGCAGCUCAAGCUAUGAUUAUUUUACCGACAGCUGCUUCUUGCUUGAGACAGUCACUAUUUUUGACUUUUCAACAUUAUUUUCCUCCACUUGCUCCACUUGUUCUAAAUUAGAAAUACAUGUGAAAUACAUCAAAUAGAUACUCUUUCAAAUGUAUAAUACUCAUGCCAACAUGUAUGUAAAUACGUAUUUCAAUUAAUUGCAUUUUUAACCAUGUAUUUAUGGAAAUUGAAUUUACGGCAAGAGAAUUGAAAUUAGAGACUAACAUUAGUGAAUUUAAACAAAUUGAAUGUAAAAUGUCUUGUAAAUUUUAUAUCUUUGAAGCACUUUUAGACAAUAAUCAAAGUGCUUCAAAGGAAUGCUUCUAUAGCUACUCCUUUAAUGGACUUUGUUCUUGAAAAAAGAGCUGCAAAGAGUGGAACUUGGAUAGGAAAAUCUUACCAUUUGUUCACUAGUAUUUUAUAUUUCCCCUUUUUAAGGAAAUAUAUAGUUUUAUCUAAGCUGCUAAUUGGUAACGAACUUCCUGCAUGUAGCAUAAUUAGUAGCGGAUAUUCUCUCAGAAUGUUCACAUUAUCUUGAUAGCUUCGAGAUUUUUAUGUUUAAAUUUUUCUUUUUAACAUAAACAGGUUGACAAGAUGAAAGUUUUUUUAGAAUCGCUUUUCAGCUCCACUUCUAAAGUUGAGAAGCGCAUCUCAAAUAAUAGGUAUUAAAUUCCAUAUAAAAAAGAUUAUGCAAGUCAACCCCCUUUCGUUAAUUUUAGUCCAAGAAUAAGAUGCUUAUAAUGAUUUGAUCUUUAUUUUUAUCUACUUGCAUUCACUUUUUUAAGACCUUUCAAUCUCUUAUAUUCAUUCACUUCUUUGGAAGGCAUUUGCCAUUUGAAGUUUUAUGUGACUUCAACCUUCAAUGCAUGCUCAUUGGCAGUGUUACUUAUUGAGAAUGGUAAUUCUUAUUAUGCGUUUUAUUUAAUCUAUUUCCUUAAAUUUUUUUACAGCUUAGAAAGAAGAACUGUUAAAGUUUCGAGUAAGCAAAGCAAGCGAAGUUAGAGAAAUAGAAAAGAUAUUUUCCCACAUACUUUAUUACUUUUGACUAAGUAUGCGGAUGUGUUCAGAAAAUGAGAACAAAGUAUACGUCUUUGAUUUUAGAUUCUAAGAUACACAUGUAAAGACCAUUCUUUGGUGUUUAUUAUGAGUGAACCGAUAUACAGCAGAAUUUAACGUCUUUUACUUACCUCCUAUUUUGCUAAUAUUAAAGGGAAAAAAUGAUGCAUUAAGAAGUAUAAAAUGCACUAUCAUAGUGGAAUCAUAUUAGUUUCAAUGAUCCAACCAUAUAAAAAUAAUUUGCUCUUCUGAGUUUUUUAAAAAUGGAUGACUUGUUUACAAUUUAGUUAUUUCAAUAGAAAGUUUUCCUGUCCAAAAUGAUUGCAUUUGAUAAUUUUUGUUCGAUUAAAUCUAUGAACAAGUGGGCAAGCAUUUUUCUAUAAAUGCUGAAGCACAAUCAUUAGCCUUUUAACCACUGGAUUGAAGCUGUGAGUUACUAUUUUCUUCAUAUCCUUUGUUGUGAACUGUAUUUAAUUAUAAGUUACCAGUUAUUAUCUAAUAGUAGUAUCAUUUGAGUUGAUAUAGAUUCUUAUGCACAUUAUGUAUGUUCAUCCAAGCUACCAUUUUAGACACAGCUUACGUUUCUGUUAUGACAAGUGGUGUAAAAGUAAUACCUGUGAACACUUUUUCCAAUGGCAAUAAAGAUCUGAAAUUAGUUGUUGUUUUGGAACUUUGAUUUAUAGUGGAAGUAUCAUAGUUUAUCCAAGUUGGUUAACAAAUCUUACACAUGGCAAACAAAUCAAUGUUCAGCAAUAGUCAAGAUCAAAGCUUUGUGAACAGAUUAUGAAGUAUUCAUGUUUAUCUAUCAACUUAUCAUUUCUCAAAGCAAAGUGGUGGUUCUAUUUUUUUAUUUUUUAUUUUUUGGUAAUUAUUGCUUUUUUUACUAUUACCUAGGUGAUUAUAGCUUCAUAGUAUUGGAUUGUUCUAUCUAAUAUUUUCCUAGACAAAUGAAAACUUAAUUUAUCUUUACUUAAACUUUUAACAGUUGAAGGUAGCUAUUUAGUGCUACAAUUGAACAGUUGGAUUAAUAAAUAUCUGUUGUAUGCUUCAUUGUCUUAAUUUCUAUUGCUUAUUCAGCUAACAUUAAUCAGUAUUUGUAUGUCAUAUUUCUGGUUGUCGAGCCUGCAGGAAUGCUGAUUUUUGUCUUCAUACUUCCUUAUGUGUUUAGUUGAAUUUAAUUAGUUCAAACCAGAUUUAUCAUUUAUUCAUUAGGAUAUUUGAUAAUAUUUUUCAUGCUUUAAGGAAAUUAUUUCAAGUACCUUAUGGAGUUCUCUAUUGACCAUGAUUUGUAUGCCAUUAUAAACAAUCUCCUGGACUUUCUUCUCAAUGGAAUAAUGGGUUCAGGCUAGCAACCUUCUUGAAGUUUGUACUCGAAGAGAUAGGUCUCCUUUACCGAGCAGUGCAGAAAAAUUCUAGGUCUCUUGUAGCGCUACUGUUUAGAUUCGCCCCUGAGAGUAUCAGAUGAACUAAAAUCAAAAAAUGAAUCCAUGGUUGAAUAUGAUAGAAUUUUUAAUUGAAAUUUGAUGAUGUAGGGCUGAAAAACGUUGCUGCUGGUGGGGAUGCAUCUAACAAUAUAUUGGAUACACUAACAGAUGAUCCUAAAACGGUAAUAUAGUUUUUCUUUCCAUCACUUUCAAUGUUUGUAGGGAACCAUUGAAAUUUGUUCUUUCACACAUGCGUUUUCUUAGAAACCCUUCAUUAUCUUACUAGGCUUAUGUUUGCUUACCCUUCAAAUUUGGGAAUUGUGUAAAUUUUGGGAAUGGAUUUGUGGAGGUGAAAUGUAAUUGUUAACUAAAAAGUAAUGAAAUGCUUUGUUAGAGAUAAAAGCUUUGGAUACAUCAUUUUUCUCUAUCCUUUGCAUCCCUCUAAAUUUAUCUUAGCUUAAAAGGAAAAAUGUGUUCAAAACAAGUUUUAGCUGCCACUCAGAUACUGGGAAAUGCAAGUAAGAAGUAAUUACAAGAAACAAAAGAUGCUAUGAGGCAAUUUAUAUGAGUGUUUUAGGUGCAUUUUUUGGAAGCUAAAUUGUCAUAAAAAAAACUCAAUGAUCAAAGUUUUAAAGGACUAAUGAUGAUUCUAAAUAUAUAUGUAGGAUGCUAAAAAAUGAAAAUGCCGAGCACAUUCUUAUCUUGUUUGUUUAUCAUUUUUAUUGAAUUGAUAAUAUGGACUUUGUUCAGGUACUUGACAGAUUAUUUUAGAGCUGGUCGUCUUUCAUAUGGAGCCAUUGAAGAGCACGUCUGCAGAACGAAGACUUGUCUUUGAUCUUUCUCGAGUUGAAAUCCGCCUAGCCAAAGGUGGUACUGAGAUGGUGAAAGGUGAGCCUCCUACUAGAAAGUUCGACAAGCUUUUUGACUCUAACUAAAGAACCAAUCCAACACACACCGAUAUCCCAAACUAAGGAGCGAUCGAGGGAGAGAAAGAAAGAAAAUGCACACACUCCUUAUUCGCCCUUCACUAAACUCGACCACCAAAUCGUCUAAAUGGAAUGCAUUUAUUAGGAAAGUGUGUUCAGUCAAAAAAAGAGCUCAGCAAAGUCCCCAUGCUAUAUGCGGCGACAAUGCAAUCUAAACCUACUUAUCAUCUUAAGCCACGUCGAGAGAAGAAACCUAAAGCAGAACAAAAUGAUUGAGAGGCUUACGUAGACCUUUGCAUAACUCGAUGCAUAUCAUGAAUAGAUUUAUGUUAACAAAAAUUGUUUAGAUUUCAUCAUUCCAUCUUUGUCCUUUACUUUGGAGAAUGCAAAAGAAAAACUACAAAAAAAUAACUUCACUUUCACCUUUUCAAUCUCCCCAGACAAUACUUGAAGAACUAGGCACAUGAUAUGCUAAUAGAUCUCUCUUAUUUUUUGUAAGUUGUCCAUAAAUAUUCCAGUAGGUCUUGCCAUAUGCAUUUUUGAGAAACUAGAUGAACCUAAAAUUCCCACCACAUCAUGCAUUUUGUAGCAUUACCCAUCAGCUUGCUUUUGUAGUGUUAGAGUUACUAUUCUAUAUGCUUAUAGAGCCACACUGUUUCUUUAGCAACAAAUCUCUAUGGACGAAUAGUUUAUUACAUAAUUAUUUCUCCUUUCAAAAACCUUCUAUUGCAUAAGAUAAAACACACUUUUUCUUAAUCUUAACGACUCCAUAUUCGUUACAUAAUUUACAGUCUUCCACCACAUUAACCAGUUAUUUUUUAUUGGAUAUUCUGCUAACUAAAUUUAAUUGUUGUUCUUGUAGAUUUUCCCAAAGCCAGCAUUAAUUUGACUAUAUGUUAGCCGAAACUUUUACAAAGUUAAAAAAAAC
rnacentral:lncRNA from 1 species